AUUGAACGCUGGCGGCAGGCCUAACACAUGCAAGUCGAACGAGUGGCGGACGGGUGAGUAAUGUCUGGGAAACUGCCCGAUGGAGGGGGAUAACUACUGGAAACUGUAGCUAAUACCGCAUACCAUCGGAUGUGCCCAGAUGGGAUUAGCUAGUAGGUGGGGUAAUGUCUCACCUAGGCUACGAUCCCUAGCUGGUCUGAGAGGAUGACCAGCCAAACUGGAACUGAAACACGGUCCAGACUCCGACGGGAGGCAGCAGUGGGGAAUAUUGCAAAAGGGGCGCAAGCAUGAUGCAGCCAUGCCGCGGUGAUGAAGAAGGCCUUCGGGUUGUAAAGUGCUUUCAGCGGGGAGGCGUUACCCGCAGAAGAAGCACCGGCUAACUCCGUGCCAGCAGCCGCGGUAAUUC
rnacentral:rRNA from 1 species